rnacentral:lncRNA from 1 species
GAUUGGCGAGAGACUGAGAAGGCAAGUUUGAGAUCCUGGAGAGAGAACCACUUUGAGGAUAGUGAAUUCUGGAGGGAGCCUGGUCUGCAGAGGUGUGUGGCCUCGGUGGAUGGAACUGCUCCUACCUGUGCAUAGGAUUGACUGUUCUUCUUGCUCCUGUAGGUGCAGUGUGGGGAAAACCAGAGUGAGACAUGAACCCUGGUGAAU